CCUACGGGAGGCAGCAGUGGGGAAUAUUGCACAAUGGGGGAAACCCUGAAGCAGCCACGCCGCGUGAGUGAGGAAGUCUUUCGGGGUUGUAAACCCUAUCAGCCGGGGAGAAAAUGACGGUACCUGACGAAGCAGCCCCGGCUAACGACGUGCCAGCAUCCGCUGAAAUACGUAGGGGGCACGCGUUAUCCGGAUUUACUGGGUGUAAAGGGAGCGUAGACGGCUGUACAAGUCGAAAGUGAAAGCCCGUGGAUCAACCGCGGAACUGCUUUGGAAACUGUAAAGCUGGAGUAGUGGAGAGGCAGGCGGAAUGCCUAGUGUAGCGGUGAAAUGCGUAGAUAUUAGGAGGAACCCCAGUGGCGAAGGCGGCCUGCUGGACAGAAACUGACGUUGAGGCUCGAAAGCGUGGGGAGCAAACAGGAUUAGAUACCCUUGUAGUC
rnacentral:rRNA from 1 species